UCCGGUUGAUCCUGCCGGACCCGACUGCUAUCAGAGUGGGACUAAGCCAUGCGAGUCAACAUAGCAAUGUGGCAUACGGCUCAGUAACACGUAGUCAACAUGCCCAGGGGACGUGGAUAACCUCGGGAAACUAGGAUAAACCGCGAUAAGUCACUGCUUCUGGAAUGGGCAAUGACUUAAAUCUAUAUGGCCCCUGGAUUGGACUGCGGCCGAUCAGGCUGUUGGUGAGGUAAUGGCCCACCAAACCUGUAACCGGUACGGGCUCUGAGAGGAGGAGCCCGGAGAUGGGCACUGAGACAAGGGCCCAGGCCCUAUGGGGCGCAGCAGGCGCGAAACCUCUGCAAUAGGCGAAAGCCUGACAGGGUUACUCUGAGUGAUUUCCGUUAAGGAGAUCUUUUGGCACCUCUAAGAAUGGUGCAGAAUAAGGGGUGGGCAAGUCUGGUGUCAGCCGCCGCGGUAAUACCAGCACCCCGAGUGGUCGGGACGUUUAUUGGGCCUAAAGCAUCCGUAGCCGGUUCUGCAAGUCUUCCGUUAAAUCCACCUGCUUAACAGAUGGGCUGCGGAAGAUACUAUAGAGCUAGGAGGCGGGAGAGGCAAGCGGUACUCGAUGGGUAGGGGUAAAAUCCGUUGAUCCAUUGAAGACCACCAGUGGCGAAGGCGGCUUGCCAGAACGCGCUCGACGGUGAGGGAUGAAAGCUGGGGGAGCAAACCGGAUUAGAUACCCGGGUAGUCCCAGCUGUAAACGAUGCAGACUCGGUGAUGAAUUGGCUUUAUGCCAAUUCAGUGCCGCAGGGAAGCCGUUAAGUUUGCCGCCUGGGGAGUACGGACGCAAGACUGAAACUUAAAGGAAUUGGCGGGGGAGCACCACAAGGGGUGAAGCCUGCGGUUCAAUUGGAGUCAACGCCGGAAAUCUUACCGGGGGCGACAGCAGAAUGAAGGUCAAGCUGAAGACUUUACCAGACAAGCUGAGAGGAGGUGCAUGGCCGUCGCCAGCUCGUGCCGUGAGGUGUCCUGUUAUGUCAGGUAACGAGCGAGACCCCUGCCUCUAGUUGCUACCAUUAUUCUCAGGAGUAGUGGAGCUAAUUAGAGGGACUGCCGUCGCUGAGACGGAGGAAGGAGGGGGCUACGGCAGGUCAGUAUGCCCCGAAACCCUCGGGCCACACGCGGGCUGCAAUGGUAAGGACAAUGAGUAUCGAUUCCGAAAGGAGGAGGCAAUCUCUAAACCUUACCACAGUUAUGAUUGAGGGCUGAAACUCGCCCUCAUGAAUAUGGAAUCCCUAGUAACCGCGUGUCACUAUCGCGCGGUGAAUACGUCCCUGCUCCUUGCACACACCGCCCGUCGCUUCAUCGAAGUUGGUUCUUGGCGAGGUGAUGCCUAAUUGGUACUAUCGAACCUGGGGUCAGCAACGAGGGAG
rnacentral:rRNA from 1 species